rnacentral:rRNA from 1 species
GAUGAACGCUGGCGGCGUGCCUAAUACAUGCAAGUCGAGCGAACAGAUGAGGAGCUUGCUCCUCUGACGUUAGCGGCGGACGGGUGAGUAACACGUGGAUAACCUACCUAUAAGACUGGGAUAACUUCGGGAAACCGGAGCUAAUACCGGAUAAUAUAUUGAACCGCAUGGUUCAAUAGUGAAAGACGGUUUUGCUGUCACUUAUAGAUGGAUCCGCGCCGCAUUAGCAAGUUGGUAAGGUAACGGCUUACCAAGGCAACGAUGCGUAGCCGACCUGAGAGGGUGAUCGGCCACACUGGAACUGAGACACGGUCCAGACUCCUACGGGAGGCAGCAGUAGGGAAUCUUCCGCAAUGGGCGAAAGCCUGACGGAGCAACGCCGCGUGAGUGAUGAAGGUCUUCGGAUCGUAAAACUCUGUUAUUAGGGAAGAACAAAUGUGUAAGUAACUAUGCACGUCUUGACGGUACCUAAUCAGAAAGCCACGGCUAACUACGUG